rnacentral:lncRNA from 1 species
UUCUUAUCUACAAUUCUAUUGCUAAUUUUGUUCUUCAAUCGAUCCUUUUUAACUGAUUUGUUCCCUUUUUCUUAUUACUUCCUCUCCGAUCUCCUCUCCUCUCCUCUCCUUUUAUAUAUUGCCCACAAAAUAACAAUAUUCUCUCUCACUUUCUUUUAUUUUCUUCUACGUUUUUCUUUUGAUCUUGAACUAAUUCUUGAUCACAUUCUUAAAUUCUUAAGGCAUCUUAUAGAGCCAUAUGGCCCCUCCUAUGAUGGAAAUUGAGAGAAAAAGCGUGACUAAAUCCACCAAAUUGUUACGCACACCUACCAUUGCUUGUCUAUCUUGCUAUCAGUUUUUUAAAGAAAGUAAAUAGAGAAUUCUUGAUUCGAAUAAAAAAAAUCAAGAAAGCGGAGGAGAAUUCAAGAAUGUAAAGAAAAGUGGAUGAAGGAGGUGAGAUUUUUAAAGAUAUUGUUCCAUCUACUUGAAUAGUGAGAAAUUAUCAGUCUGUGUUCUUG